UACGAGGGGGGCAAGCGUUGUUCGGAAUUAUUGGGCGUAAAGGGUGCGUAGGCGGUUUGGUAAGUCUUAUGUGAAAUCUACAGGCUCAACUUGUAGUCUGCAUGAGAAACUGCCGGGCUUGAGUAUGGGAGAGGUGAGUGGAAUUCCUGGUGUAGCGGUGAAAUGCGUAGAUAUCGGGAAGAACACCCGUGGCGAAGGCGGCUCUCUGGGACGGUACUGACGCUGAGACGCGAAAGCGUGGGGAGCGAACAGG
rnacentral:rRNA from 1 species